CAGGCAACGAGAAACAGCAGGACAACAAAUGUAACGAUGCGUGACCAAAGCGGCAAAGUAAAGAUGUUUUCCAAAAGUAUGUUGAUUGUGAGAUAAGCAGCGACGAUCAGAGCAAUUGCUGAGAAAGCAUUUAAGUGCUUCUUGUCAUCUUUUGUGUUUGUGUCAUAGUUUCUUACCAAAUUCAUAAACAACAGAGAGACAGAUGUUGGUGUCAGUGCAAGUAGUAGAAUGUAAGCGCUUGGAUUGCCACUGCAUACUGUCUCGUAGAAUUGGAUUAGUGUUGCUCCACUCAAACCAAGAAAACCCUUCAUUAUGCCAACAAUAGUCCCACUAUAGGCACUGAAAUUAUGAACACCGCUCACGACGUUCGACGUGUUAAAGAACGUCUGCCCGUGAGCAGCCAUCCACAUAACCAGGCACAUAACCGGCACAGGGAGCCGGGGAAUCAACCCAACCACGGAAGCCCACAUCACGAAAUAUCCAAUGAACCACUGGAUCGCCCCGGCCGCAUGGACUACCCAUGGGCCGGUAAAGACUCCAAGACGGCAUGGNNNNNNNGAGGGUGACAGCAGAAUAGAGAAUGCCAGAGAGAACGCCGGCGUUGGCUCCGAUGUCCUUGAAGACAGAGACGGUGUCGAGUGUUGACUGGUCGUAACCUUGGGUAGACUUGAGGAGGGAAGAGUAGAUGCCAAAGGUGUAGGUUGCACCGCAACUACACUGGAUCCAUAUACUGGCAACUGUGGCCAUCCAUUUCGAUUUUAACAUCUCUUCCAUCUCUCAGUCCCUUAGGCGGUCUGGCUUAGCAUAGAUUCGUUACAG
rnacentral:misc_RNA from 1 species